rnacentral:rRNA from 1 species
GUAUCAGAAGUGCGAAUGCUGACAUAAGUAACGAUAAAGCGGGUGAAAAGCCCGCUCGCCGGAAGACCAAGGGUUCCUGUCCAACGUUAAUCGGGGCAGGGUGAGUCGACCCCUAAGGCGAGGCCGAAAGGCGUAGUCGAUGGGAAACAGGUUAAUAUUCCUGUACUUGGUGUUACUGCGAAGGGGGGACGGAGAAGGCUAUGUUGGCCGGGCGACGGUUGUCCCGGUUUAAGCGUGUAGGCUGGUUUUCCAGGCAAAUCCGGAAAAUCAAGGCUGAGGCGUGAUGACGAGGCACUACGGUGCUGAAGCAACAAAUGCCCUGCUUCCAGGAAAAGCCUCUAAGCAUCAGGUAACAUCAAAUCGUACCCCAAACCGACACAGGUGGUCAGGUAGAGAAUACCAAGGCGCUUGAGAGAACUCGGGUGAAGGAACUAGGCAAAAUGGUGCCGUAACUUCGGGAGAAGGCACGCUGAUAUGUAGGUGAAGCGACUUGCUCGUGGAGCUGAAAUCAGUCGAAGAUACCAGCUGGCUGCAACUGUUUAUUAAAAACACAGCACUGUGCAAACACGAAAGUGGAGCGUAAUGAUGGCCAGGCUGUCUCCACCCGAGACUCAGUGAAAUUGAACUCGCUGUGAAGAUGCAGUGUACCCGCGGCAAGACGGAAAGACCCCGUGAACCUUUACUAUAGCUUGACACUGAACAUUGAGCCUUGAUGUGUAGGAUAGGU